UACAGAGGGGGCAAGCGUUAUUCGGAAUUAUUGGGCGUAAAGGGCGCGUAGGCGGCUUUGCAAGUGACGGGUGAAAUCCCUCGGCUUAACCGAGGAACUGCCUGUCAAACUGCAUGGCUUGAGACCGGGAGAGGUGAGUGGAAUUCCCAGUGUAGCGGUGAAAUGCGUAGAUAUUGAGAGGAACACCAGUGGCGAAGGCGGCUCACUGGACCGGUACUGACGCUGAUGCGCGAAAGCGUGGGGAGCAAACAGG
rnacentral:rRNA from 1 species